ACACAUUUGUUUGAGGAGAAACCUCCCGUACACCGUUGUCUGCUUUCAAAUUUCUCCAAAUAACUCAACGUCAAGAUGAAUUUCAAGGUAGUUACUGUGGUCCUUGUCGUGGCAAUUCUGAUGUCGAUGUUUGCUCUUCAAACCGAGGCUUUCACCAUGGGAGCUGGGGGCGUAGGAAAACGUCAGCUAAGCAGCUGUGCAGAGACCGAAAAUAAACUGCUGGAAAUGUGUGAGGUAGCUGCGACUGUCUGUAGGGCACCAGGCACCAGGCGAGAAAUGGGCUCAAAGCAAUAACAAAGAAAAGUCGCUACUGGGAACCAAUCUUCUCCAGUGAAAGACAUUGAUUUUAGAAUUACCGAAUAAAUCGCUAAGAUGAUUGCUGUUCAGAAGAUGCUUUAAUUUCGAAGGUUGUGAAACUUUUAGCAGUUACUAAUAAUUGACAAGUACCUGCCCAGAAACUGGGCAAAAAUUAAUAAACUGCGCAAAGCAAGGAAUCGUAAACCAAAUUCAAUU